CAGAAUUGCUUCUCUCCCAGUCUCAUCCUCUCUCACCGGGCCACGCCGCCACCCAUAACAGCCCCCGUCGCCCAUAGCUUCGGGAGACGCUGCCGUGAACGCCCGAGCAUCACCGUCGCGCAAGUUGCGUCGUUCACACAGCCCUAAACUUACCAGUCGGAAAAGCCCCUCCCUCAAGCCGGCGACCUUUUCACCCUCCGACGUCUUCUUCGUUCCCCUCUUGGACUAUAAAAUCUUGGUGGUUAGCCAUGAUUAUGAGAAUCUUGAUGAUGCUGCAGCAGCAAUAAAUGACUUUUACUCUCUUCUAAAAUAGUUAAUUAUUAAGUGCAACUACCGAACUAUGUUAUAAAUUUGAGCUGCAACUUAUCUCUACUUGUCACUGCAGACCAUUAGAACUAUGUCUGCUGAGGGCUAUCUUUCUUAAUCUGAAAGCAAGGUCUACACUAGCAACAAUUAAGAAGACCUAAAAGGCAAUAAAGCCUUCACUUUUUUCACAUUUGGGUUGAAUUUUCUCUUUUUUCUUCCUAUGUGAAGUGGGUAGUUAUGUAAAAUAAAAAU